GACGAACGCUGGCGGCGUGCCUAAUACAUGCAAGUAGAACGCUGAAGGAGGAGCUUGCUUCUCCGGAUGAGUUGCGAACGGGUGAGUAACGCGUAGGUAACCUGCCUGGUAGCGGGGGAUAACUAUUGGAAACGAUAGCUAAUACCGCAUAACAGUAGAUAUUGCAUGAUAUCUGCUUGAAAGGUGCAAUUGCAUCACUACCAGAUGGACCUGCGUUGUAUUAGCUAGUUGGUGGGGUAACGGCUCACCAAGGCGACGAUACAUAGCCGACCUGAGAGGGGGGUCGGCCACACUGGGAAUGAGACACGGCCCAGACUCCUACGGGAGGCAGCAGUAGGGAAUCUUCGGCAAUGGACGGAAGUCUGACCGAGCAACGCCGCGUGAGUGAAGAAGGUUUUCGGAUCGUAAAGCUCUGUUGUAAGAGAAGAACGAGUGUGAGAGUGGAAAGUUCACACUGUGACGGUAUCUUACCAGAAAGGGACGGCUAACUACGUG
rnacentral:rRNA from 1 species